GGGAAGAAGCUGGCCUUUCGGGGUUGGUGACGGUACUGCAGAAGAAGCGCCGGCUAACUACGUGCCAGCAGCCGCGGUAAUACGUAGGGCGCAAGCGUUAUCCGGAAUUAUUGGGCGUAAAGAGCUCGUAGGCGGUUUGUCGCGUCUGCCGUGAAAGUCCGGGGCUUAACUCCGGAUCUGCGGUGGGUACGGGCAGACUAGAGUGCAGUAGGGGAGACUGGAAUUCCUGGUGUAGCGGUGAAAUGCGCAGAUAUCAGGAGGAACACCGAUGGCGAAGGCAGGUCUCUGGGCUGUAACUGACGCUGAGGAGCGAAAGCAUGGGGAGCGAACAGGAUUAGAUACCCUGGUAGUCCAUGCCGUAAACGUUGGGCACUAGGUGUGGGGGACAUUCCACGUUUUCCGCGCCGUAGCUAACGCAUUAAGUGCCCCGCCUGGGGAGUACGGCCGCAAGGCUAAAACUCAAAGGAAUUGACGGGGGCCCGCACAAGCGGCGGAGCAUGCGGAUUAAUUCGAUGCAACGCGAAGAACCUUACCAAGGCUUGACAUGAACCGGAAUGAUGCAGAGAUGUGUCAGCCACUUGUGGCCGGUUUACAGGUGGUGCAUGGUUGUCG
rnacentral:rRNA from 1 species